ACCGGGUUUGCCACAACCAGCCCGCGCGCUGACGCUGGGCAGCAUGUCGUCCCAGCCGCCGCCGUUUCAAGGCGGUAGCGCCGGUUCGAAUCCGGUCGGGGGUA
rnacentral:tRNA from 1 species